GUCCGUACACCCUGUGAUAUUAAAACUUCUACUGAAUACAGUGACCUGAUCUGUUGUUUCUCCAAUGGUGUUGCUGAGUUCCUCUUCCCUCUUGUAAUCCUAAAGCCCAGGAUUUUAACUUGAACACUCAGGGAAAGCAGACUUCGUGAUCUCCAUGCUAACUACCAGCCUGCCUGCUGCCAGUUCUCCCUACUUCUGCCAGUGAUGACAUUCAGCUCGCUCCUCCACGCGGGAUACAGCACUGAUUCCUCAUUAUGUAAGGCAGUCUAGGUCAAGUGUAGGAGAGAGACUGCUGGCCUGAGCAAGCUAGUGGAUUGCUCCCUCAGCUUCAUCUUCAUGGGGUCUGGAAGC